CGCGUAGGCGGCCUGGUCAGUCGGAUGUGAAAGCCCCGGGCUUAACCUGGGAAUUGCAUUCGAUACUGCCAGGCUAGAAUGUAGUAGAGGGAAGUGGAAUUCCAGGUGUAGCGGUGAAAUGCGUAGAUAUCUGGAGGAACAUCAGUGGCGAAGGCGACUUCCUGGACUAACAUUGACGCUGAGGUGCGAAAGCGUGGGGAGCAAACA
rnacentral:rRNA from 1 species